GACGAACGCUGGCGGCGUGCUUAACACAUGCAAGUCGAACGAUGAAGCCGGAGCUUGCUCUGGCGAAUUAGUGGCGAACGGGUGAGUAACACGUGAGUAACCUGCCCUUGACUCUGGGAUAACUGCUAGAAAUGGUAGCUAAUACCGGAUACGACCCUCGGAGGCAUCUCCAGGGGGUGGAAAGAAUUUCGGUCAAGGAUGGACUCGUGGCCUAUCAGCUAGUUGGUGAGGUAAUGGCUCACCAAGGCGACGACGGGUAGCCGGCCUGAGAGGGUGACCGGCCACACUGGGACUGAGACACGGCCCAGACUCCUACGGGAGGCAGCAGUGGGGAAUAUUGCACAAUGGGCGCAAGCCUGAUGCAGCAACGCCGCGUGAGGGAUGACGGCCUUCGGGUUGUAAACCUCUUUUAGUAGGGAAGAAGCGAAAGUGACGGUACCUGCAGAAAAAGCACCGGCUAACUACGUGCCAGCCGCCGCCGUAA
rnacentral:rRNA from 1 species